rnacentral:rRNA from 1 species
CCUACGGGAGAUAGCAGUGAGGAAUAUUGGUCAAUGGACGAGAGUCUGAACCAGCCAAGUAGCGUGAAGGAUGACUGCCCUAUGGGUUGUAAACUUCUUUUAUAUGGGAAUAAAAUGUUCCACGUGUGGGAUUUUGUAUGUACCAUAUGAAUAAGGAUAGGCUAACUCCGUGCCAGCAGCCGCGGUAAUACGGAGGAUCCGAGCGUUAUCCGGAUGUAUUGGGUCUAAAGGGAGCGUAGGUGGAUUGUUAAGUCAGUUGUGAAAGUUUGCGGCUCAACCGUAAAAUUGCAGUUGAAACUGGCAGUCUUGAGUACAGUAGAGGUUGGCGGAAUUCGUGGUGUAGCGGUGAAAUGCUGAGAUAUCACGAAGAACUCCGAUUGCGAAGGCAGCUCACUGAACUGCAACUGACACUGAGGCUCGAAAGUGUGGGUAUCAAACAGGAUUAGAUACCCCUGUAGUC